rnacentral:rRNA from 1 species
UACGUAGGGUGCGAGCGUUAAUCGGAAUUACUGGGCGUAAAGCGUGCGCAGGCGGUCAUAUAAGACAGGCGUGAAAUCCCCGGGCUUAACCUGGGAAUGGCGCCUGUGACUGUAUAACUAGAGUGUGUCAGAGGGGGGUAGAAUUCCGCGUGUAGCAGUGAAAUGCGUAGAUAUGUGGAGGAAUACCAAUGGCGAAGGCAGCUCCCUGGGAUAACACUGACGCUCAUGCACAAAAGCGUGGGGAGCAAACAGGAUUAGAUACCCCAGUAGU